rnacentral:lncRNA from 1 species
CCCAUGCUCUGGCUCUAGCCACUAGACCACACUGCCUCUCUUAAACCUAUCCUCUCACCCACAGUGGAAGGCUCCACCUGAACAACUGGACCAAAUCUCACAACCACCAAGGAACAAGCCCAUUAUCUGUGAAAGAGCUUGAUGGAACCUGGUUAAAGUUAUUCACUGGAGAAAAUGUAUACACUCAAAAAUUUUGAAGGAUUAAGAUAUGUAGAUCGGCAGUGGGUGUAUCCAGAGGAGUAUCAACUAGAUUUUUUGAGAGUUUAUUCGGGUCCGUGGGGAAAAAAAAAGAAAGGAAGAGAAGAAUAAUCACCAAAGAGAGCCAGAAGACCUUGUAACUGCAGAAGAAAUAAAAAGCAACUUUCUUCUAAAUUCCAUCUGAAGAGAGUAUAGGAGCCUCACUGAGGAAGUCAAAAGAAAGGGAUUAAAUUAAACCCCAGAAGUGAGCCUGUACGUCAUGAUGGGGUGAAAAAAAUGUUUGAGGCCGAUGACGCUUUUCAAUUUGGACAGGAUUAAUUUUGGAGAGUCACAGAAGUCAGGUUAGAGUUUGUCUUCACUGCUAUCGGUUGGAUGUGACUAAUCCGAAUAUCACAUUUUCCCCCAUAACCCCUUGAUAUGCUCCUACGAGAUUCAGAAGUAUAAAUGCGUAAGGGUGGGAAAUUUUGAAAGUUCAGUAGAUUCUCUUCUGCUGCUGAGUUUUGGGAGCAUUUUUCUUUUUUUUUUUUUAGAUUGCCAGCUGACCUGCAGAAUGUAAACAGAGCCCGCAGACAGACUGAAAGACAGAUAUAUCAGCACUAAUGAAGGUGUUAACAUCACUCUCCUUCUAAGGGUGUUACCACAGAAGCUCGGUUGUAACUUGUUACUAUUCCAAUUUUGCUAACCUUGUUAACUGAGCUACUUGCCGCUUGUCACAUUAGAGAUACCGACCCUUCACUUUUUGCCUUGUGGUUUAUAUACAUUCACUAGACAGUGUGCAGACUGAAGCUUUACCCAGUACAAAACCGAAGCUCAUUUUGACUGGCGUAGACCUUCAUCUAGAGAGGGCAUAUUUUAAAGAAGCGAUUAUAAUUUUCAAUCGAACAACGCUAUUGCACUCCGGGGAAAUUUAUUUUAAGAUGCAUCUUAAUACCCCGAAUUUGUAUAGAGUGGUUGAGCAGUUGCUUGUUGAAUUAUGAUCGAGUAUUCCUCCAAGUGCUUAGUACAGUGCUCUGCAGAUAGUAAGAGCUCAGUGAAUACCUUUGAUGGAGUACCAUAGAAGGCUAAAUAAAAUCAUUUCUUCCUCCCCUCAAAAAUUCAGGGAAAGAUGCUCAAAGAUAGUUUUGCUAAAACUUUUCUGCACAUCCCUAAAGUGUUUUGUAAUCUAUGACUAAUCAAAAAUGAAGGUCUGUAAGUAAUUGGUUCAGUGAGCAAACUAAACCUAGUAUGCUUUCAAUGGCUUGUAAGAGCUCUCCUGAAAAUUCAGCUAUUCUAAAAGGUUUCUCAGGAAAGGAUAAAAUUACGAUAUCAACUACCUAGUGUUAGUAAUAAAACCUAGAGCUUUAAUUUUACCUUCUAUGGGUAAAUGCUGGCGAGAGGUGGGGGAGGAGGGGAGAGUUGGCCCAAAUGUGAAUUCAUGUUUUCACUCUAUCCUUGAAUGCUACGGUUCUGACUUUCUGAGCUGAGAAGUAACUUUUCCAGGCUCUAAUAAGCCUUCCUUGGCAAGAAAACAUAUCCCCCACCCCCCUUCUUUCCCCUUCCAUUCUCCAGGUUAAAAGGAAGAAAUAUACAGGUUAAAAGAUACACUUUUGGUAGAAUCUGGAAAAUCACAAUGCCUUCCACCGCAGUUUAAGGCUAGGGAAUACGGAUACUGCUGUGAACGGGAAAAUUACAAAAUGCUGUCCCUUGGAGUAAGAGUAAACUCCUAGCACUUUAAAUGAG